UGCAUGAAUCUUAGAGUCUAAGUAUGAUAUUUUCUAGAAUCAAAGGUUGUUAUUUUCUAUAAUUAAAGAAUUAAGUUUUUCUAUUUCUAAGAGUCCUUGUUUUAAGAGUUAAAGGAAAAUUAAUGUUGUGUCUUUCCAAAAAAAAUUGGGACUAGGAGAAUUAAUGUUGUGAGUCUUCCCAAAAGAAUUGGGACUAGAAGAAUUAAUUUUCAGGAUUGAAACUAUCCAUCU
rnacentral:lncRNA from 1 species